rnacentral:rRNA from 1 species
UACGUAGGUGACCAGCGUUGUCCGGAUUUACUGGGCGUAAAGAGCGCGCAGGCGGUCGUUCAAGUCGAGUGUGAAAGCCCCCGGCUCAACUGGGGAGGGUCACGCGAUACUGAUCGACUCGAAGGCAGGAGAGGGAAGUGGAAUUCCCGGUGUAGUGGUGAAAUGCGUAGAUAUCGGGAGGAACACCGAGUGGCGAAGGCGAGCUUCCUGGCCUGUUCGUU